rnacentral:lncRNA from 1 species
ACGGAAAUCCCCAAAUUGACUCAAAUUAACCAAUUUUACUUAAAUUACCCAAUUUUAACCCGAUCCGACCCGACCCGAACCACCAAAUAAUAUAAACCCAUUUUUGUUCAUCUUCAUUUCUGUUAAUCUUCAACUUUAAAAUUAAUUAAAAAAAAGUCCAACAUAAUAACAAAUUAACAAGCAAAAGCUGUAACAGUGCCCAAAAAUACAAUAAUAUCAAACCAAAAAUUAAAAUAAUCAACAACAAAGUGUAAUAGCAUACACAAACUUGAACAACGAAUAUGAAUGAAAAAUUAUUGGAGCUUGAACUCCCUAACCAAAUCUGAAACACAGAGAAUAGAGUGAAAAAUGUAAAAN